rnacentral:tmRNA from 1 species
GGGGCUGUAAGGGUUUUGACAGGGGGUUGUGGCCGCGCAAGUUGCGAGCCGAGGGUGCGAUUUGCCUCGUUAAACACGGUCGCCAACGUCACAAAUGCAGACGUAAAACAAGCACUAGCUAAAGUCGAGUGGGCAUUUGCCGACAAUUGUGUCCGCAAUUUGUUCGCUCCGGCUCUGGCAAACGCUGCUUAAUUAAAUAAGUAGCGCGUCUUCCGGGUCCGCCGCUAGGUCCGGGUCAAGACGUCAUUAUGGCGGCUGCGCCGUUUUUCUUUUCUGGUUGGGAGGCGGCAAAGUAAAAGACAUCGGAUAGUCCGGGAAAUUCCUCGUUUCGGGUCAAAUCCUGGACGAACUAAUAAUUGAAGCUACGCUCGUAGCGGCUGGCGGGGUUGCCUCUCUGGACGGGGGUUCGACUCCCCCCAGCUCCAUUU